UACGUAGGGCGCAAGCGUUAUCCGGAAUUAUUGGGCGUAAAGAGCUCGUAGGCGGUUUGUCGCGUCUGCCGUGAAAGUCCGGGGCUCAACUCCGGAUCUGCGGUGGGUACGGGCAGACUAGAGUGAUGUAGGGGAGACUGGAAUUCCUGGUGUAGCGGGUGAAAAUUGCGCAGAUAUCAGGAGGAACACCGAUGGCGAAGGCAGGUCUCUGGGCAUUAACUGACGCUGAGGAGCGAAAGCAUGGGGGAGCAAACGG
rnacentral:rRNA from 1 species